rnacentral:tRNA from 1 species
GCCCGCCUAGCUCAAUCGGAUAGAGCGUCAGACUCUUACGACAUUAGGCAGGGCAUCUGAAGGCUGCGAGUUCGACCCUCGCGGUGGGCU